CCAAUAGCGUAUAUUAUUGAUGUUGCAGUUGAAACGUUCGUAGUCGAACUUCACCCGCUUAAGCAUUGUUUCGUCGAUGACGUUACUUUACUCUGAGCGGGGAGAGUGUGAUGAUGCUCGUGCUUCACGUGCAUUCUUUCACACCUUACUUUGAGUGAAUCGGCGUGUUCCACGCAGGCGUGUGCCUUGAACGAUUUACCAUAGCAUAACCAGAGUAUGGGGGUGCUUUCUUGUUGGUUCGGAAGCACUUUCGAUACAGAAAAGAACGGUUGAGGGCAUUCGUAUUCAACUGCUAGAGGUGAAAUUCUUUGAUUAGUUGAGGACGAACCAUUGCGAAAGCAUCUGCCAAGGACGUUUCUUUUGA
rnacentral:rRNA from 1 species